rnacentral:misc_RNA from 1 species
GAAUUUUUUUGCAGUUUUGAACAAGUUCAGGAAUUAUACUGUCGAAGCUAACCCUUGAGAUAUCACGACUGUGCAAAGCAUGAGUUCCCAAGAAAGUAGUGCACAACCAAUUAGGCGUACAAGGUCCCAGUCAAGAAGAAAUACUGUUCUAAAUGUGGAUCUAAAUGCUGCACCGCCAGCUGAGAACAGAAUUCAGGAAGGAGAUCCUAUUCAUGUUGUGUCUGGGGAUACACCACAAGGACGAAGAGGUUCCUCUUUGACAGCUGGAGCAAUUGAUGUUGAGGCACUUGAUGAUGAUGUGAUUAUAUCAUCCCCUAGGGCGUUUGCAGUAGCUAAGAACAACUCUAGAAGGAAUCAAGGACGGGUUAUUGUGCUUGAUGUGGAUUCUGAGGACCGUGCGUCUAGGGGUAACAGUCGCAACAGGCAUAGAAGAGUCUCUACAAAUCAAGCAGCAAACAAUGGUGAUAUUCACAUAGACCUAGAAGGACAUAGCUGCCCAAAGAGAGUUGAUCUAAGAAGUGCAAUACCAGCACCACCAAAAGAGCCUACAUUCAGCUGUCCAGUGUGCAUGGGUCCAUUAGUUGAGGAGAUGUCAACGAAAUGUGGUCACAUUUUCUGCAAGGCGUGCAUUAAAGCAUCCAUUGCUGCUCAGGGAAAAUGUCCUACGUGUAGGAGGAAACUGGCCGCGAAAGACACCAUAAGAGUAUAUCUUCCUGCCACAAAUUAAGUCCAAGGUAGAACAUGUCAUGGCUAUUAUAUAACAUGGUUGAUCACCUUCUUUGACAGGAUUUUGCUAUCAUUUACAUGACCUCUGGAUGAAGUGUAUGACUAUGUGAGUGGAAGGGAAAGUAUGACUGGAAAUACUUUUUCAGUUUAGCUUUAGGUCUGAAUCAUUGAUGGUACUCUUACAGUAUGUGCCUUUAAAAGAUUGGUGUAAUUAGUAAAUGGAUUUAAGCUACAUGCAUUGACAACUUUUGUGAUAUCAUUUGUGUAAUAUACCUUGAAG